CUGUGGCGGCAGCCGGGGUGAGAGGAGCGUGGCUGUCUCCUCUCUCUGCCAUGGCAUGUGCUCUCCCACUGAUAUCAGUGUACUCCAAAAAGGGGGAGUCAUCUGGCAAAAAUGUCACUUUGCCUGCUGUAUUCAAGGCUCCUAUUCGACCAGAUAUUGUGAACUUUGUUCAUACCAACUUGCGCAAAAACAACAGACAGCCCUACGCUGUCAGUGAAUUCGCAGGUCAUCAGACCAGUGCUGAGUCUUGGGGUACUGGCAGAGCUGUGGCUCGAAUUCCCAGAGUUCCAGGUGGUGGGACUCACCGCUCUGGCCAGGGAGCUUUUGGAAACAUGUGUUGUGGAGGCCGAAUGUUUGCACCAACUAAAACCUGGCACCGUUGGCAUUGUAGAGUGAACACAACCCAAAAAUGAUAUGCCAUCUGUUCUGUCCUGGCUGCCUCAGCCCUACCAGCACUGGUCAUGUCUAAAGGUCAUCGUGUUGAGGAAGUUCCUGAACUUCCUUUGGUAGUCGAAGAUAAAGCUGAAGGCUACAAGAAGACCAAAUAAGCUGUUUUGCUCCCUAAGAAACUUAAAGCCUGGAAUGAUAUCAAAAAGGUCUAUGCCUCUCAGUGAAUGAGGGCUGGCAAAGGCAAAAUGAGAAAUCAUUGCCGUAUCCAGCGCAGGGGGCCAUGCAUCAUCUAUAAUGAGGAUAAUGGCAUCAUCAAGGCCUUCAGAAACAUCCCUGAAAUUACUCUGCUUAAUGUAAGCAAACUGAACAUUUUGAAGCUUGCUCCUGGUGGGCAUGUGGGACGUUUCUGCAUCUGGACUGAGAGUGCUUUCUGGAAGUUAGAUGAAUUGUAUGGCACUUGGUGUAAAGUCGCUUCCCUCAAGAGUAACUACAAUCUUCCCAUGCACAAGAUGAUUAAUACAGAUCUUAGCAGAAUCUUGAAAAGCCCAGAGAUCCAAAGAGCCCUUCGAGCACCACGCAAGAAGAUUCAUCGCAGAGUCCUAAAGAAGAACCCACUGAAAAACCUGAGAAUCAUGUUGAAGCUAAACCCAUAUGCAAAGACCGUGCACUGGAAUACCAUUCUUCGCCAGGCCAGGAAUCACAAGCUCCAGGUGGAUAAGGCAGCUGCUGCAGCAGCAGCACUAGAAGCCAAAUCAGAUGAGAAGGUGGCGGUUGCAGGCAAGAAGCCUGUGGUAGGGAAGAAAGGAAAGAAGGCUGCUGUUGGUGUUAAGAAGCAGAAGAAGCCUCUAGUGGGAAAAAAGGCAGCCGCUACCAAGAAACCAGCCCCUGAAAAGAAGCCUGCAGAAAAGAAACCUGCUACAGAGGAAAAGAAGCCUGCUGCAUAAACUCUUAAAUUUGAUUAUUCCAUAAGGGUCACAUCAUUUUGGACAACUUCUUUUGAAAAAAUACCUGAUCAUACAGGCAGUGAGAAAAAAAAAAAAAAA